rnacentral:tRNA from 1 species
AUAAGGAAGUUAAUCAACAUAAUAGGGCUGCUAACUUUAUUAUAAAUGGCUUGUAUCAUUUUUCCUUGUA